rnacentral:hammerhead_ribozyme from 1 species
AUCCAGCUGACCAGCCCCAAAUAGGACGAAACGCGCGUCAAACUGGAU